rnacentral:rRNA from 1 species
GAUGAACGCUGGCGGCGUGCCUAAUACAUGCAAGUCGAGCGAACAGACGAGGAGCUUGCUCCUCUGACGUUAGCGGCGGACGGGUGAGUAACACGUGGAUAACCUACCUAUAAGACUGGGAUAACUUCGGGAAACCGGAGCUAAUACCGGAUAAUAUAUUGAACCGCAUGGUUCAAUAGUGAAAGACGGUUUUGCUGUCACUUAUAGAUGGAUCCGCGCCGCAUUAGCUAGUUGGUAAGGUAACGGCUUACCAAGGCAACGAUGCGUAGCCGACCUGAGAGGGUGAUCGGCCAAACUGGAACUGAGACACGGUCCAGACUCCUACGGGAGGCAGCAGUAGGGAAUCUUACGAAAUGGGCGAAAGCCUGACGGAGCAACGCCGCGUGAGUGAUGAAGGUCUUCGGAUCGUAAAACUCUGUUAUUAGGGAAGAACAAAUGUGUAAGUAACUAUGCACGUCUUGACGGUACCUAAGCAGAAAGCCACGGCUAACUACGU